CAGAAGGUGGGGAUUCUGGGAGGUGUUAGGAGCAGAAGGUGGGCCUCCUGGGGGGUUGUGGGAGGUGUUAGGGGCAGAAGGUGGGCCUGCUGGGGGCUUCUGGGAGGUGUUAGGGGCAGAAGGUGGGGAUUCUGGGAGGUGUUAGUGGCAGAAGGUGGGGAUUCUGGGACGUGUCAGGGGAAGAAGGUGGGGAUUCUGGGGGAUUCUGGGAGGUGUUAGGGGCAGAAGAUGGGCCUCCUGGGGGAUUCUGGGAGGUGUUAGGGGCAGAAGGUGGGUCUCCUGGGGGAUUCUGGGAGGUGUUAGGGGCAGAAGGUGGGCCUCCUGGGGGAUUCUGGGAGGUGUU
ensembl:lncRNA